GGUGUCCGUGAUGUUGGCAAAUUACCUACAUUGUUUGAUUCUCAUGAAAACAUCGAUUUGCUGAGAUACCC